rnacentral:rRNA from 1 species
ACGUAUGUCGCAAGCGUUAUCCGGAUUUAUUGGGCGUAAAGCGCGUCUAGGCGGUUUGGUAAGUCUGAUGUGAAAAUGCGGGGCUCAACUCCGUAUUGCGUUGGAAACUGUCAAACUAGAGUACUGGAGAGGUAGGCGGAACUACAAGUGUAGAGGUGAAAUUCGUAGAUAUUUGUAGGAAUGCCGAUGGGGAAGCCAGCCUACUGGACAGAUACUGACGCUAAAGCGCGAAAGCGUGGGUAGCAAACAG